rnacentral:lncRNA from 1 species
CGAUCCAGCUGCAACUGGUUAGUUCCAUUUUCGAUCCAUCUCUCAUCUUUAAUGUAGCUUCAUGAUUGUCUUCCCUGCGUGUUCUUGUUGUGCUUUGUUGUUGAAUUUUUGCUGUUGUUCAAAAAUGGAGUUUGAUUUUUGAGGAAGAAGGUGGUUUUUGUUUCAGAAACGGGAAUGAUAUUUGUGGCUCUUGAUGCUUCCCUUUUGUUUAUUUUCAAACUGAUACGUUGUUUUUUUUGUUCUAAAUAACAUGAGGUAUUUGGAUCGAUACCUGUGAGAUCCACAAAAUCCAAUGCCUAGCCUUUUUUUGUUUUGUGUAUCAUCAGUCAUUAUUAGCUUUGUCUUUUUCAUCUGGACCAAGACAGCCAUGCGGCUAGGUCACGCUGCCCUUUGGCUUUCCG